GACGAACGCUGGCGGCGUGCUUAACACAUGCAAGUCGAGCGGUAAGGCCCUUUCGGGGGUACACGAGCGGCGAACGGGUGAGUAACACGUGGGUGACCUGCCCUCAGCUCUGGGAUAAGCCUGGGAAACCGGGUCUAAUACCGGAUAUGACUCCAUGACGCAUGUUGUGGGGUGGAAAGCCUUGUGCGGCUGAGGAUGGGCCCGCGGCCUAUUAGCUUGUUGGUGGGGUGAUGGCCACCAAGGCGACGACGGGUAGCCGGCCUGAGAGGGCGACCGGCCACACUGGGACUGAGACACGGCCCAGACUCCUACGGGAGGCAGCAGUGGGGAAUCUUGCGCAAUGGGCGAAAACCUGACGCAGCGACGCCGCGUGAGGGAUGACGGCCU
rnacentral:rRNA from 1 species